UAUAAGUGGAGAAAAAAAUUUAUUUCUGUUUAAAUGAAAACAAAAUUAACUCAUUUUAUCAAAAACUCAUUUUUUUCUCAUAUUAUUAAUAACUUAACAAUCAAAUAUAUUUCAAAAACAUCCUAAAUGUAAAUGAUACAUACAUGUUAUAUAUUAUAAGCCAUGUUAUACGUAUACAAAUAAUGUAUUUAUUUAACUUAAAAAAGACGAGUUUCUACAAUAAUUAAGUAGAAACGAUGAAUAAUAAAAAAUUAGCAAAUUUCGUUUAUGCAAGAGAUUACACUAAGAAAUAUUGCUAAUUUUGUAUGUGCAUUGUAUGUAGUUGAAAAUGUUAGCUUCAUUUAGAAGCCUUUAGUGUUCGUAAUUGAUGACUACCUUGAUAAAUAAUUACCUUGUCACAAUUGACUUAAAUUAUCUUAAAAUAAUAAAGACGCGGAUGGAUAUUGUUUUUACUGUGUAAACUUGAUGAGUAUAGAAUGUUAAUUUACUUAGAGAUUACUAUCUUCAACGAAUAAUAUGAAUAUAUCAAUACUGAGAAUUUUUAAGUAUAAAAGUUUAUUGAUAAAUUCAGUAUUAAGAUGUACGACCUUCCUUCGAAUGUAAAAGCUUUUCUUGUUCUUCACUGCCUUUGAUCGAAGGUCGCAUGCUUGAUUGUGAGCGUGAAUCAAGGGAUGAACUAAUUAUGUAUUCAAGCAAUCGAUCAUUUCAAGUAUGUAGGUGCGAUUAUAUUGAUCGGCGUGUUUCUUUGCAUUACUAUUGGUGGAUAACAUAAAUUAAAAGAGAUUGUAAUAAGUAAUUAGCAUUAGAAUAUUUUUAUUGUAGCGAUAAUUGAUCAGAUAAUUAUUCAAUUUAUGUAAUAAGUUAAUUACAAUUGUUUUUCAUAGUUAAUAAUUUAUUUGAUCAAUUAGUGAAAUAUUUUAUUAUGAUUUUAGACAUUUUUUUCUAUUCAUAAAAAAAUGAUUUAUGAUUAAUAAUAAUUAUAUAUUGUUCUAUUCACUUCAUCAAUUAUUCUAGACAAUUUUAAUUAUUUUGGAAAGAAUUUGAUUGUUCGAUAUCAACAUAUAAAAUUUUUUCCUUGAUAAAAUCAUUUUUUUUUGAAGAAAAAAAAGUUACAAAUCAAAAUUUGAAGUAUGUCGAAAAAUAAACAGAUUUAUAUUGAAAUAAUGAAUGAUUCAUUCGGAAUGAAAUUAUACCUGUCUCAUUGGAAUACUAUUUAAUGAUAAUUUAUGUUUAUAUUAAGUACAGAUACGCUAUGACACUAGAAAAAUGCAAAUUAUUGGAUACACAACAAUGAAUUUUUUAUUUCUACAUAACAAUCAUUAAAAAUAAUUGUGUAUAAUUUAACAUUAAUGUGUGUGGAAAAUAUCAUGAAAUUAAAUGCUAGAUCAAGGAUUAAAUAUCAUCCUGUUAUUUUUCUUUAUCGUUUCACUACUGUAAUUAAUCUUGAUGGGCUAGAACAGAACAUGACUGCAAACAAAAUUAUCAUUCUCACUUAAUUUUAUUACUUUAUUAUUCUUUGAAAGAAAAAAAAAGUAUUUGUUUUAAAUUUGAUUAUACCAUCAAAGAGCAUAUCCGAAAAAGAUCGCUUCGAGUAAAUAUAAAUUAGAAAUUUCCUCAAACUCUAAACUUUUCACUAUACAAUUCGACACGUGAUAACGUGAGUCACAAGGAAAAUGAAGUACUUUUCUCUUUACUAUGAGAUUUCAUUUGAAAUUUUUCUUGAGACUUUUUGUAUCAAAAAGGAUCAAAAUUUCUAACUAAAAUAUAAAAUUGGAAGAAAAAACCAAAAAAAAAAAUUUGACAAAUUUAAAGUAAACAAAUAAAUAUUAAUAGUUACUAAAAAAAAUAAUCUUUGAUCUCUCUAUAUCUAUUUCUCUCUAAAACUCUAGUCAAAAGUUGAAUCUACUUUACGAUAAAAAUAAAAUCAUAAAAUAAAGAUGAAAAAGUAAUAAUAAUAGUUGAACAAUAGCUUUGUCGCCAAAAAGUUUGUGAUUUUAGUACAGUUGAAGUACGUUCGUAUAUACGUAUAUUAAAAGUCUCAACAAGCAAAGCGUCAAAGUGAUAAUACCAUAAUCGAAAAGCUCGUCAAUACGCUGGAGAUUUUCGAUAUCUCAAUGCAUCCAUAAAAUAAGUGGAAUAAAAAGAAAAUCCGAUAGUAGGUACACAACUAUAGAAAAGCAUUCAGAUCCACGUAAUAGAAACGGAAAUCUAUGAAACGGAAGAUUUCCUAUUAUUUGUGCAUUUGUUGCAUCCUUUUUAUUGCUCGCCGCUAUACACUGCAAAAAUGGAACAAUAAAUUUACAAUUUUAAAAAUCUCGUAGUCUAAAAGUUCGAGUCUCGAAAAUUUAUAUUCAAUUACUUGAAGAGAAAAAGGUCAAUUGUAGUACAAUUAUUUUUCUUUAAUCGUGUAGCAUUUAAUCUUAAAUAUUAAUGAAAUGACACUUUAUUAUCUUUACUAUAAACUCUGUGAAUUAAAAUAGUAAUUAAGCUUCAUAUAGCAUUAAAUUAGUUAUUAUCUCAAAACGUGAAAAAGAUAAAAAUUUUAUAAUGUUAUUAAAAGUUGAAAUUUUUAUCAGUUUAAAAGGCUAAAGUUUACAAACUUAUCAAGAAAAAUUUUUUUUCAACGUGUUGACACGUCAUGUCAUGUAUUCCAACUGCCUCUUGAAUAGUUAACUUUCAACUGCUCUAUUUUUUGUUAAUUGACUACAUUUUUUUAAAAAACCCUUUCGUUUUAAAACAUUGUUAAAAAAAAGAAUAUAAAAUACAUUUGAUUUAAUUAAAAAUAAAAAAUGAGUAUAAAAUACAUCAAAAAGUUUCUGGCAGCUCUCAAGGAUGUGCAUAAAUGUAAUAAAUGAAGGACAUACAAAAUAAAAUACUCUACUAUUAUAAGUAGUUGGUGGAUUAUUAAUAAAAGACAAAAAAAAACAAUUCUUGACGACUCAAACUUUUCUGCUAGAGGGUAUAGAACAUGAGAAAUUGUCAUAAUCACUUUUCUGUAUUUUCUCUUCACUAUAUCUCUAUUUCUUACUCUACGUUAGAUAGCUACAUAUGCAAGGGAAAACCACUUACUGGCUAUUUUUCUCCCAUUGCUUCUAUUUCGAAAUAUAUUAAUCUUUCGUAAAAAUCUACUUGUUUAUAGCCAGCCCCUUAUUUAGAAAAUUUUUUCAAUCUAGUUCAAAGUGUCUAUGCUAAUAAUUAUCAAAAAAAAAACGAAGGAAUUAAUCUACACUUUUUCUAAAGUUAUUUAAUAACAUAACAAACUUUGAUAAGGACCAAGUGGACUAUAUUUGUCUUAUGACUGGCCAAGAAACAUAUUUGAGUCUUUAUUGAUUAGUUAAAUUCAAGAUAUCGUAGUUUGACUGAAAAUAUUUUGAAAACGACCAAUUAUUAGUCAAAAUUUGGACCAAGUAGAUUUUGAUCAAUUAGUUAAAUUAGUUGAUAAAUUAUUCAUUAGUCGUAAUAAAAAAAUAGACCUUCUUUUCUUAAUGUAGAUUGGUUGGUUCUUUUAUAUUUCACGCACAAAUACUUUACAGUGCGUGUACAGUUGACUGAAAAAUUGUAUUGUUUAUUAAAAAAACAAUGAAUAAUUGUACGCUUGACUUCCAAAGAUUUUUUUCUGAAAGACUUGAUCCAUCAAUGGUGGGGCUGGCUACAAGAUUCUUUUGAUAAACGAACAAAAAAAUCUCGGUGUUUCUAAAGUCUGUAAAAGAAACCGAGAAUAAAUAUUGUACUCUCUAUACACUAUUUAUCCUAAAAUAUAUACUUAAUACUUACUUAUACAACAAAUAAAACAAAAUCAGAAAUAUUUAGAACAAUAUUACUAUCAUCUUUACUGUCUUUACAUCGUAGACAAUGUCUUAAGAUACAUAAAUCUUGAAGCAUUUAGAGCUUUAAGACAUUUAUUAAAUAAAAACGCAGAGGACUAUUUAAUAAUAAUGUUUAGCUGUUUACUGUACAGCUAAAAAUAAUUAUAAUAAAAUAUCUUAUUGAAUUAUAUAAGUAAAUAGAUAAAUAAAUAAAAUACUGUAAACAACAAUCGAACAGCUGUUGAUUGAAAUAACGAAAGUUGAAUUUCGAUUGCUGUAAGUUAGGUUAGGUCAACGAAAUAAAAUAUGAUAGUUGAUUUGAAAAAAUAUGAAAAAAUAAAUCGUCUUUAAUGCGAAAUAAAAAUAUGUAGUGAAUGUGUUCCUUAGAAAUACGUUUUAAAAUUAAAGUAAUAUGCAAAUGUAAAAUAAAAAAUACAAAAUGGAAUGAAAAUGAGACAAAAGUACCGAGUUGAGGACAAACUAACCUGGAUAAAGGAUUCUGUAUCAAUUACAAAGAAAUUUUAAGUUGUAUGAUGAGUGAUAUACAUGUUAAAGCAUCAGUAGAUUUGAAAAUCUAAGAAAUCAAAAUUACUGUAUGUCAAAGAGAGAGAAAGGGAAUUAAUGUGUUAAUUGUUGAUAUGAAAGUGGAGAAUGGUUGGGUCGAGAAGUCAUGCCCGAGUUCAAAGCUAAAUCUUCAAGAUAAUUUGCUCCCAUGAUACUCGAGUUCUUCAAUCACAGACUAUCGGCAUUAUUGACAUUUCUAUAUAGCUGAAAUUUUACACUCUAUAAAUCUGGUUGAACGAUUCAACUAUAAAACGUGAUCAGAAAAAAUAAAAUGCAAGAAAAUAAUAUAUAAAACUACAAUCAAUUAAAAACUCGAGUUUUAUUGGAGAGAAUAAAAUGGAUAUUGAAAAAGAAAAAUUAAUUGUAAUUAAGUCGAAAGUGCAAAAAUAUACAUGAAUUAAAUGUUGUUUACACAAUUCAUUAUUUUUAUUCAUCAGUUGGAAAAGUCUGUAAUCAAUACUAUAGUGACAAGCACAAAGAAGACGUUAUUUUUUUUGUUUUCUAAUCGAUUUAGUUGAAAUUGAAAUUGGUAUUACAAAAGCUUUCUUAUUCAUAGUUCAAUUCUAGUAUUCUCUAAUUUAAUUUGCAUAAUAGCCAUUUUUUUCUAACUAGAACUUGGGAAUGUAUAUUAUGACGAUUGAAUCAAUUACAUGAACAACGAAAUUCAUCAUAUUAUAAUUAGUUGAUUUUAUGCAUCUGACAGAGACUAAUUGUUUUACCAAUACGUUUUGUCAAUAGAAUCAAAGGCCUAUGAAAGACACCUCAAUGAAUGAAAACCAAUAAACUAUUUUUGUUCUGUA